CCUUAUCGAGAGUGGCGGAGGGAUCAGGCCCGAUGAAGCCCGGCAACCUGUGCGGUCAAUCCCGUGCAAGGUGCUAAAUCCUGCGGCGGCACAGCCGGCAGAUGAGG
rnacentral:ncRNA from 1 species